GAGAAAAAGAGACAGAAGGGCUGAACCUGCCGGGUGGAUAGUAAGGUAAUUGAUUUUGGCCGUUGGUUUGAAAUCAAUCAAUUUCCCAUGUUUUUGAUGAUGGGUUUUGUUGUCACCCCGACAGAGAGAAGGCAAGAGUAAAAAAGAAAGAGUGAGAAGAAAACAGGGAGAGAAGAGAAAGAAGAAGGAGGAUGAGACGGGAAGCUCUCUGGGUUUUCUUUGAUCGCUGACCAAGCCUGUUACUUAGCCCCCAUUGGUAUGGAGACUGGGCAGUUUGCGGAGCUGCUGCCUGUGGUCAUGGUGUGACAGAGUAAAAUCCUGAUCCUUCAAUGUAUCUGACAGUUGUUAAGGUAAUUGAUCUACAGCCUUAUUUCCUCCAUAUGUAUAUAUAUCUCAAUUAUCUUGCUCAAUUACAUUGUAUUGUCUCUCUCUGUAUAAAGUGUUACUGAUCAAAUUUCCAAAAAAAGAGAGAUCGCUAAGCUCUAUCUAUAUCCAGCAAUCACAUAGAAAUUGAAGAUGGUAAAACUUUCCUGACCUUAUUGCCUAUCCGUGGAGAAUUGGGUGAAUGCCAUGUCUCAGCCAAUGUCUGGCAAUGAAUAAAGCAAGAAUUUAUAAACAUUCCCCUGUUUAAUUAAAUACAUAUAUCCAUAAGAUUUUUGGAUACUCAUCCUCUGAUUGAAUGACAAAAUCUGUCAUAGCAUUCAAUUCUACACAGGUUAGGAUUUAAAUGUGUCUAUAUAAUUUCAAUGUAUAAAUUUAAAAACCAAAUUAAGGACCUUAAUUUUCUGAUGACCUUGCCAUCUCGAGGAUGGUCGAUCAGUCGUAUGACAAUGAUUAUAUCACAGUCAUUCCCAUCUGAAUCCCAGCAUAGCUGUAGCAUGAAAAUUCCUGUCAAAGGAGAAUGUAUAUGACCACUAUUCCACCGAAAGUAAAACCAAGCUAAAGCUAUUGUUCUUUAUUCUUACAUGAUCAAAAUCCAAUUCUCUUUCCUAUAUUCUCUUUUGCUGCCACAUUCUAAGAUUUUCAUUUGAUAUAUAACAUAGGCCAAUGUAUUUCUUGAAAAUCCUUAUGCUUCUCAACCUCUGAAGACAUCACCUUAAUCUCAUCGAUUCACCUGAUUUUCUAUCCUGGUAUUACAAAUUUUCCUUUGACAAUAUGUAAUGGUUUUGUGUACAUAUUUUUCUGGUCUGUCAUAUUGUUCUAUUGUCUAUGGUUGAAGCAGUUGAAAAAAUGGGUGUGGCAAUAUCUAGGAUGGUGAAGAUGCUGUUUGCAAGGAAAGAAAAAUAUAAUAUCAACGUGUUUGUUUGCAGGUCCAUGAAAGUUUUGGCGAAAAUUGAGAUCUUCGAAGCCAUUCAGAAGCAGCAAGAAAUCGUUGAAGCUUCCUAUGGAGCCAUGAUUGCUCGGGUUGAUCUUGGAGUUGAAAUCCCACUCGAACAUGUUCCAAUUGUCCAAGAGGAAAUAAGUCGAGUGUGUGGGUAGCUAAACAAUGUUUGUAGCUUCUCAACUACCUGAAUCAAUGAUUGAAUACCCAACCCCAACACACAUUGAGGUACCACUCUUAAUUGUACUAAUGAUACUGAUAACAGUGGAAGAUCAAGAAAAUAUAUUUUCUCUAUAAUGACUUCAAACGCAAUGCCAUGAUGAAUAUCUCCUCUGCCUUCACUGAUCAGAAAAGAAGAUUUUUUUUCCUCACCUUGGUGUUGGAUUGGACAAUCAGUGUGAUGAACCAGUUUCAAAGAAACCGUGUGCUUCCCCAUCAUGGACUGUACACAAUUAAGAAGAGCUACUAGAUUGCAAAACACUAUCAGAGGUUUUAAAGAGCUUAGAAAAGAUGGUGCCUACUUGAAAAUUUUCACCUAUGAACGAUUGGAUCAGUUAAAAAGAACUGCCAUCUUCACUGAAUGUGAAGUGGGAAUGUGAUAGAGUCAGUAAUCUAGAAGUGAAGGAAAAUAUUGAACAUGUUGUUCCUUUCUGAUUUUGGUUGGGUUUCUUUUCUAAUUUGUUUUGAAUUGGUUUGCCUACUUGAAUUCUUUUCGUUUGAUUUUGUUAGUUGUUAGUUUAGUUAGAAAGGAAAAAAAAAGGCAAUUUACAAUUGUUAUACGAUUUGAAUGCAUUUAU